GACGAACGCUGGCGGCGUGCCUAAUACAUGCAAGUCGAGCGGGCCUCCGGAGGUGCUUGCACCUCCGGAAGGCCAGCGGCGGACGGGUGAGUAACACGUGGGCAACCUGCCUUUGAGGCCGGGAUAACACCGGGAAACCGGUGCUAAUACCGGAUGCGUCCCCUUUCGCGCCUGCGAGAGGGGAGAAAGACGGUCUUUAAGGCCGUCGCUCAAAGAGGGGCCCGCGGCGCAUUAGCUGGUUGGUGGGGUAAGGGCCUACCAAGGCGACGAUGCGUUGCCGACCUGAGAGGGUGAUCGGCCACACUGGGACUGAGACACGGCCCAGACUCCUGCGGGAGGCAGCAGUAGGGAAUCAUCCGCAAUGGGCGAAAGCCUGACGGUGCAACGCCGCGUGAGUGAGGAAGGUUUUCGGAUCGUAAAGCUCUGUUGUGAGGGAAGAACAGCUUCCGGAGGAAAUGCCGGAGGUUUGCCGGUACCUCACCAGAAAGCCCCGGCUAACUACGUGCCAGCAGCCGCAGUAA
rnacentral:rRNA from 1 species